rnacentral:tRNA from 1 species
GAAUAAAUCUAAAAUUUAGAAUUUAAUUUCGACUUAAAUUUAUGAUUAAAUCAUUAAUCUAUUCA